AUUGAACGCUGGCGGCAUGCCUUACACAUGCAAGUCGAACGGUAACAGGUCUUCGGAUGCUGACGAGUGGCGAACGGGUGAGUAAUACAUCGGAACGUGCCUAGUAGUGGGGGAUAACUACUCGAAAGAGUGGCUAAUACCGCAUGAGAUCUACGGAUGAAAGCAGGGGAUCGCAAGACCUUGUGCUACUAGAGCGGCCGAUGGCAGAUUAGGUAGUUGGUGGGAUAAAAGCUUACCAAGCCGACGAUCUGUAGCUGGUCUGAGAGGACGAUCAGCCAGACUGGGACUGAGAACCGGCCCCGACUCCUACGGGAGGCAGCAGUGGGGAAUUUUGGACAAUGGGCGCAAGCCGGAUCCAGCAAUGCCGCGUGCAGGAUGAAGGCCUUCGGGUUGUAAACUGCUUUUGUACGGAACGAAAAGCCCUGGGUUAAUACCCUGGGGUCAUGACGGUACCGUAAGAAUAAGCACCGGCUAACUACGUGCCAGCCGCCGCCGUAAAAC
rnacentral:rRNA from 1 species